rnacentral:rRNA from 1 species
AACGUAGGAGGCAAGCGUUAUCCGGAUUUACUGGGUGUAAAGCGCGUGCAGGCGGUUUGUCAAGUCGCGUGUGAAAGCGCCCGGCUCAACCGGGCGAGGCCGCGCGAAACUGAGAAACUGGAGGCCGGUAGAGGCGUGUGGAAUUCCGGGUGUAGUGGUGAAAUGCGUAGAGAUCCGGAGGAACACCAGUGGCGAAGGCGACACGCUGGACCGAGCCUGACGCUCAGACGCGACAGCAUGGGGAGCGAACGGG